rnacentral:rRNA from 1 species
GAUGAACGCUGGCGGCGUGCCUAAUACAUGCCAGUAGAACGCUGAAGGAGGAGCUUGCUCUUCUGGAUGAGUUGCGAACGGGUGAGUAACGCGUAGGUAACCUGCCUGGUAGCGGGGGAUAACUAUUGGAAACGAUAGCUAAUACCGCAUGACAACAGUUAUUGCAUGAUAACUGUUUAAAAGGGGCAACUGCUCCACUACCAGAUGGACCUGCGUUGUAUUAGCUAGUUGGUGAGGUAACGGCUCACCAAGGCGACGAUGCAUAGCCGACCUGAGAGGGGGAUUGGCCACACUGAGACGGAGACACGGCCCAGAGGGCUACGGGAGGCAGCAGGAGGGAAACGGGAGGAAUGGGCGGAAGACAGACCGAGAAACGCCGCGGGAGGGAAGAAGGAUGUCGGAUCGUAAAGCACUGUUGUAAGAGAAGAAAGAGUGUGAGAGUGGAAAGUUCACACUGUGACGGUAUCUUACCAGAAAGCGACGGCUAACUACGUG